GAUGUUAUCUGGUAGCAAAAACCCUAUUCCCAGUUUACAAAAGGAGAGAUGGAGACACAGAAAGAGUACCAUCAAUCCCUGAGAGAGCAAUUGACACAAUAGUUCAAAGCCUUUGGACUCCAAUUGAUGACAUCACUAUGUUCCUGGAGGAGGGCUCCAAAACUUUACAUUUCUCAUACACAUCAUCAUCUUUUCCCUCCUUUCAGCAUCCAAGUCAAUCUACUAAAGCACCUAUCUACUGAAAAGAGUUCAACGGCCUUGAACAAGGAUCAAUUUCAGCCAUCCUAUAUUGAAGGCUACUAAACAAAGAUAUGGAAUGAAGACCACGAUCAAAAUCAAAGUUCUACAUAAGCCCUCUAGUGAAGGAUGGAAGAUUGGUCUGACCAGCUAGGACCAGAUCACACUCUAUCUAACCAGGAUCAUGCCAUCUUAAUUCCCUGGGUGUCGGUUUCUCUCUCAGGAGGUAGAAAUAGAUGUUAGUGUGACACGCUAACCUGCCAAAGUCACACUGCAAUCGGUGUCUACCUUAUCAACUGCAAUGAUAUACACCUAGAAGUAUUUCUACCACCUUGAACUCUUACUUGGGAUAGCCAGGGUAUCAUUAGCCUAGGAUGAGUACAUGGUCCAGGAGUUUAAACACUAUAAACAAUUAGUUCCUUGGGGUGUUCCUUCUUAGAUAUAAUGAAUUUAACAAAAUGUGAACUUGUCCAAGCAGGAUUCUGUGCUUUCUUUUUUUUUUUUCCAAUAGCACUUACCCAUCUGUACUUCUGUUACAUUGCUAUUCCCACUCGAAAUACUGUGAAACCUUUCAAAUAAAAUAUUUAACGUGUAGAUCUGGUAAUUUUAUGUUGUGAGUUAUGAAGCCUUUACUUAGGUCCCACCUUUUAUUAAACCUUAGGGUUCUUUUGCUGUCUCUAAUGACAUUACAUUGCAUCAGAAUUAGACAGAUUUUUACAGGGAGCUGUAUUAUUUGUUGUGACUUGGUAAUGCUAAUGUUUAAAUUUUGAGUCUUUUUACUGCUGAUUAAACCUCUAAAGACUACAGCAGAAUUUCCGCUUCAUUGGUAGAAGAGAAGAAAACAGCACAGUUUGUACCAAGGAGAUCACUUGAAGAAUGUGCGUAAGGUUGCUGCAUUUAUGAAUAAAGCAAAGCAUUAUCAUUUUUAAUAGGAAUUAAACAGCUAGAGGGAGAAGUAGGGCAAUGCUGUGAUCAGAGCAAAGGAAAACAAUCUAACAAUUUUAAUUAACUGUAUUUUAAUAGCUUUAGUUAUAAUUGAAUAAUUUAAAUACCAGGGGAAACAGUUAAAUCUCCUAAAAGCCUUCUUUUUAUUUACAUUUUAAAUACAGUUCACGGUGAAGAGAUGACAGUGCAAAGGCUGGGAAGAAAUAAGGUUUACAUUUUAAACUUCUGGGCCAAUAGGAAGUAUUCGGGGGAUUUAGGUCUCUGUUGUACAGAAUGUUAGCACUUAUUGCUCCCACCCCCCAGCCUCCUAGAGACCGGAGCAGCUUUCUGGGGCUCAUCCUUGUGGACGUCACCAAGCAUACACGUCAAGAAGAGGAAAAUGUAGUGAGAGGACCACCUAAUCUUUUCAUAUGGGAGCAAUAGGAUAUCAAAAGAGUAUUACCACAGGCAACAGAUUGCAGGAAUAAUUCUGUAUCCUGCUCAAAAGCACAGUCAAGUGUGGGAGAUGAACUGAGACAAAAAAGAUGACCCUCUAAAGCAGAAUGAUCGUAACAUUGGACAAUCUGUACCAGUAAUUUCCACUUGUGAUUCACACUUUCCUUCAUCCAAGAAUAAAGCUAUGCUCUAUUGGUCUGGAAAUUAGGGGUUUAGCACACUGGGAUAAAGUGUGUAUGAAAUGUCUGCCAAUUUUUAAAAAAAUUAAUCUCUGAAAACUCCAAAAAGUUGAAGUCUGCAACAGUAAAGGUUGGAGUUGGAUAUGUUUCAUCAAACUCUGUAGAUUAUAAACACCUUGAGGACAGAGAUUAGAUCAACACAUCUAUUGCACUCUUCCAAAUUGAGUACAAUGUAGGCUCCCAAUAAAUACUGUUGGCAGAUUGAUUUGCUUUCUGUAUCUGAAACUUGUGACUGAAUAAUUAAGACACUUGAAUAUUGAAAUGUCUGAAAACUGGACCUUGAACUCUGAAAGAAAAAUCUGUCCCAAAAUGCCUGCUGACUCUCCACUGAAAAAUAAAGG